rnacentral:ncRNA from 2 species
GAUUCCUGGAAAUACUGUUCU